GCCCGCAUGGCGCAGUGGUAACGCGUCGCACUUGUACGAACUCCGCUUGGAGGCACUCGACAUGCGAAGAUCGGUGGUUCAAUUCCGCCUGGGGGCA